rnacentral:sRNA from 1 species
AUUCUGCCCAAGCGGGGAAGGAUGAGAAGCUUCGACCAAGGUUCGACUUGAGCGCCAGCGAGAGAGCGUUGCCGCAGGCAACG